UGGGGAAUCUUGGACAGUGGGCGCAAGCCUGAUCCAGCCAUGCCGCGUGGGUGAAGAAGGCCUUAGGGUUGUAAAGCCCUUUCAGUCGUGACGAUGAUGACGGUAGCGACAGAAGAAGCCCCGGCUAACUCCGUGCCAGCAGCCGCGGUAAUACGGAGGGGGCAAGCGCUGUUCGGAUUUACUGGGCGUAAAGGGCGCGUAGGCGGGCGAUCAAGUCAGGGGUGAAAGGCCUGGGCUCAACCUGGGACGUGCCUUUGAAACUGAUUGUCUUGAGUGCGGGAGAGGGUGACGGAAUUCCCAGUGUAGAGGUGAAAUUCGUAGAUAUUAGGAAGAACACCAGUGGCGAAGGCGGCUUACUGGCUCGAGACUGACGCUGAGGCGCGAAAGCGUGGGGAGCAAACAGGAUUAGAUACCCCCGUAGUCC
rnacentral:rRNA from 1 species